UGAAGCGCUGCUCCGUCCCCCGCCCCCACGGAGAAUCGGAUCCCGCUCGUUCCUUCAAAGCAUGCGGCCCCGAUGGGAUCCCGUCCUCCGCUUCGUCUCCCUCCGUCUCCCUCCGUUUGAGUCGCUCCGCCCAUGGCCGCCACGCGAGUCGAGGACGUCAUGGAGUUCUUGACGGCGCAUGGGUUCGCCCACGCCGCCGCAGCCCUCCGCGAUGACGUCCGCUCCCUCUCCGGCGCCGCCGCCGCCGACGCCGACGCCCUCGGCCUCGGCCUCGGCCUCCUGCCGCCUCUCAGGAUCACCCCCGGAGGUCGCGCAGGAGAGGGCGGUGCCCUUCCGGCGAGCUCGGCCCCCAGCUCCUGCUCCUCCGACGCCUUCCUCAGCCCCGGCUUGUCCCCUUCCGAAUUGUUGAAUCCUUAUGGGCUUUGGUCCCCGGGUGGGGCUCAAUCAUCGGACUCGUCAUCGGAGAGGGAGUUUGGGACUGCGCGAGAGUAUGUGGAGUCGAAUUUAUUCAACGAUCCCUUCUGGGAUGAUGACCAGUAUGGGGCCUAUCUCAAUGAUCCGUACUUCGUAAAGAUGAGCCCGAGCCCUGAUGCAUGCCGAAGCGAGGAUAAGUUUAUAAUGUCUAUAGACGCUGAGGAGAGAUUUGGGGAACGAGAAAGAUUUGAUUUUGGUGCGGGAGAUAAGCAUGGAGAUGGCGUUGGUGUUAGUUGCGAGGGUUGUUCUGAGAUUUAUAUAUGUUCUUCUCCUCUUUGCGAUUGCUGCAGUGGAUUAAGGGAGCGGAAUGAUGGCAGCCCCAUGAAGGGGGUUGGAAACUCGAGUUCGACGAUAUAUGGGCGAUAUCGGAUAUUGGAUGACCAUACAGAGAGACUGGAUGAAUGCAGGGAAGAAGAUAGAUUUCAGUUGAAGCGGGUCGAUGAGAGGACCAAGGAUGCUUUUUCAGAAGGGGAUUUGCUUCAUGAUGCCAGUGGAGUAGAGAGGAAGAAAAGUUUGGAGUUUGGAUUAGUGGAGAAGGAAUUGCAGAUGCUUAACUCAUAUGCAGGAGGUGCUAGGAGUACUCAAACAAAUGGUGAUUCUGGAUAUGAGAGAAAAAGCUGUGGGGAUUCAAAUGACUGUGGUGAAGUACCUAUCGUAAAUACCAUAAGUAAUGAGGAGGUGCUAAAAAGAGAUCACUGGUUACAACCUUUUCCCGAGAGAGCUUAUGAGAAUGAUGUAGAUGAUGCCUAUGAAUUAGGAGAGUCUGAAACACUUGACAGAGGAUUUCAGGAUUCUAGAGCUGUGGGGGUUGAAGGAGAGGACCAUGACACCAGUGAUGAGCUUCAGCUGUAUAAUUCUAAUGAGGAUGAAUUUGAAAUAUUUGAGUUGAGAAUCAUACAUCGGAAAAACAGGACGGGUUUUGAAGAAAACAAAGAUCUGCCAAUUGUUUUGAACUCAGUUAUAGCAGGCAGAUAUUAUGUCACUGAAUAUCUUGGUUCAGCUGCAUUCAGCAAGGUAGUCCAGGCACGUGAUCUUCAUAUGGGAAUUGAUGUGUGUCUUAAAAUAAUAAAAAAUGAUAAGGAUUUCUUUGAUCAAAGUUUGGAUGAGAUCAAGCUCCUCAAAUUUGUGAAUAAACAUGACCCUGGUGAUGAGCACCAUAUAUUGCGCCUCUAUGACUACUUCUAUCAUCAGGAACAUCUUUUCAUCGUUACUGAAUUACUACGAGCAAAUCUAUAUGAACUUCAGAAAUAUAAUCUGGAAACUGGUGGGGAGGUGUAUUUCACAUUGCCCAGACUACAGACUAUAGCUCGACAAUGUUUAGGGGCUCUAGAGUACCUGCAUCAUUUGAGGAUAAUUCAUUGUGAUCUAAAGCCUGAGAAUAUCCUUAUUAAAAGCUACAGCAGAUGUGAAAUUAAGCUUAUUGAUCUUGGAAGCAGUUGCUUUCUGACGGACAACCUGUGCCUGUAUGUCCAAUCUCGUUCUUAUAGAGCUCCUGAAGUUAUUCUUGGUCUACCUUAUGAUCAGAAGAUUGAUGUCUGGUCUCUUGGUUGCAUCCUGGCUGAGCUCUACACUGGUGAUGUCUGCUGCCAUGACAGGUGCUGUUUCCAAAUGAUUCAGUGGUCAUGAUGCUGGCUCGCAUGAUUGGGAUUCUUGGUCCAAUUGACAUGGAGAUGCUUGUAAUGGGCCAGGAAACACACAAGUACUUCACAGAUGAUUAUGAUAUUUAUCACAGAAAUGAGGAAACAGAUCAGGUAGAGUAUUUAAUACCUGAGAAGUCCACAUUGGCACAUCAUUUGCAAGUUUCAGAUACAAAAUUUCUCGAUUUCCUUUCAUAUUUGCUCCAAAUAAAUCCUAGGAGGCGGCCCACAGCAAGACAAGCAUUGCGACAUCCAUGGCUCUCCUUUUCAUAUAAGUAAAGCUGCAUCAGAAGUUUCAUUGCUGCCCCUAAUUGUUGGUAAAAAAAAAAAAUGGCGAACGCCGCACCACCUUGUUUGGAUCUCCGCCGUAAUGCGAAGGCAUUCUCACCAUCUACAGGUUCAGUCACCGUUGUUUGUUUGCUAUUUCUGCAUCACAAACUUACUGAGUGAAUUUCUUUAUAAAAAAUAGAAAAAAAUUAUACCGAGUGAAUCGAUUCAUACAUGUAACCAGGCAUGUAAAUAUCAAAAAAUUAUGUUCUGUAUAUAGUCGAGUUCAAGUUUCAUGCGUGCAAUUUUUGGGGCUGGAAAUGCUGUUCGGCUCCAAGUUUUCAGCCGGUGAGUUGAUUAGUGAGCUACAUCCUUGUCCUUUUUUGGGCCCGAGUGUUAUCCUUGUUGCAAUUAAUCCAGUAUGUAUUA